rnacentral:tRNA from 1 species
GCUAAUUUGGCAGAUUUAUGCCUUAAAUUUAGAAUUUAAUUAAAUGAUAAAAUCAUAUUUAGUA